UGGCCAUCUUCAGUGUGGCCUCUGAGAAGAUAGGGAAAGCUGGUAACUCACAGACGAAACUGAACAAUUGAUGGAAGCCUGCUCUUCCAGGCCCCUGUGAAGAUGGGAUUAUUAUAGAAAUAAACCCAACUGAUCCACACCACCAAAUUCUCACCUGCCGGGUUGCUCUAGAUCCAGGCCAUUGACCAUUCAAGGCUUCUGCCUUGAAUUCCCUUUUCUUGGAGAUUUGCUUUCAUAAAGCUCUGUGCCUAAAUGGCAGCAUGUACUGUAACUAAAUGUGACCAUAAAGAGGGAAAAGUUAUAAUGUUGUUUCGGAAAAUUGUUGUUCUCAUUACCUACCUUAGUGCCAUAUGUUCCAAUCUAAAGCUGUACAAUAUGGGGAAUUAUGGUGACACAAAGAUGAAGUGAUGUCUGGCUAACGACACCCCCAAAUAUUUAUCCUUGCUCCCUCCCCAGCAGUAUUCACAUGCAUAAUUGAUGCCAGCUCCCUCAAUUAGAAGUCCAGGGCAUAAAGAAAAUGAGGACAAGGCUGUCCGCAUUUCUGAAGCCUGACAAGGAAAGAUUAAAAUAUUUUAUGAGUCUUCCCCAUCAUCUGUGGAACAUGGAGCUCUCAUAUUUCAUUUUCUCAGGAAAAAAUAGUGUUUGCAUUAUUUGAAGAAAAUCAUUAGGAAUGCAGCUUACCAGCAGAAGAGGUGGGCUGCUGGGUUGCUAGCCCUGAGUUAUGUGGUGUGCUUGGCCUCCUCUACAUAUUCUCAUUUAGAUGCAUCAGAAAAGGAGCAAAGCCUGCUAGCUCAAGAAUAUCCAGUGUUCCAGACACAGUGCCAUGGAACGCCAUGUCUUUCAAACCACAGAUAAGUGGUGCAUGUGAACUGGGCUUCCUAGAGGGGCAGCCCUGCCUGCAAAGCCUUUCUCACUGAAGACUUCUCUCACUAGGAACAGGAGCAACUCCUGGGGACAAGGAGGCAACACAGGGGGGAGUAAGCAUCCUCAUAUUUUUAUUAUUUCAUUUCAGGACAAAUAGCCUGGGUUGUGACAUAUGCUCUACAAGACAAAUGUGAGCCCAUUUAUAGAGAAGAAACUAUCGUGUGACACUGUGAAGAAUAUGUAUAGCAUCAGAAUCUCACAGGACUGGUUUUCAAUCCCAGUUCCUCCAUCAGGAACUGUGUAAACUGUGUGGCUACUCAGAACCUCAGUACUUAUACAAUCAGAUAGUGACUACAACCUGUGCCAGUUGGUUAUGUCUGUAUGGCUAAAUAUGUGGCCUAUUAUUAUUACUAGGAUAAUAGAAUUCAAAUAUAUUUAUAACAUUACUUUAUCACAUUAUAAUAAAGGAAAUACUCAAGUUGAUUUUUCUU
rnacentral:lncRNA from 1 species